GGAGUUGUGGCUUAGAGGUAGAGCACUCACUUAGCACGUGUGAGGCCCUGGGUUUGAUCCUCAGCACCA
rnacentral:tRNA from 1 species